GUAUUGGCGCUUAAUAUUACCAUCUUCUUCGCUCUUCCACACUUCACUCGUCCGUCCACCGGAGAGACUAGUCUCUUUAACUCUGCUCCUCGGAGACCCAAUCAGCCCUAUACACUCGCAAUCAUCUCUAUAAUCCAAAGAAAUUAACAAGAUCGUUGUAAGUUUUCAUUCUUCUCCCUUUCGUUCAUUCUCCGAUCAUCCCGCUGCUCUCCAAACACCGUCGGAGACAUGUUAGAGGGUUUUACUUGGAGGGGACAUCUUUCACACCGCCGUAUCUCCUUUUCUUCUAGCGACACCAGUGUUUUCUCUUUCUUUCAUUCUAGGGCGUUCAAGAAUCCUCUGCCUUUCCUUCUUCGUCUCUUAGUUAUAUGACGUCUGGUUGCGAUGUAAUUUUGGUCCACCAUCAUCGCUUGAAGGAUCAAACACUAUGCCCAUGGAUCUUCUUGAACUUUAUUAGAGGUCACUCAAUCGAAAUUAGAGCAUCCAUCAGACGGAGAUGAUUGGUCAAGAAAGUUGUGAUGUGUUGAUUCUAGAGAUUGAAUCUUAAUCAAAUGAGGAUACUUCCAAUAGGCGAUGUGAUUUUUUUGUGGGCCUGUUUAUAUCAUUGCCUCUCCUUCUAUUUAUGAAGGUGACAGAUCUUCUGCUGCAUCUCCAUUGAAGUUAGUUCCUGACAUUGGUAAUUUUGUGUCUACAUGUCUGUAUUAUACUUUCUUCACUGAAAUUGUAUAACAUCUCUGUCCUUUUAUAUGAUGUUACGCUUACCCUGGUAUGUCCCCCAUUAAUUAUACUGGUAUGUCUUCCAUCAGCAACUGGGGUUAAUACGGUUGUAUCAUUUUCAAAACUUUAAUACAAUUUACUGCAACUUCAAAUCCUUUUUUGUUGAUUCAUUAGUUAAUGUUUGACUUAAACAUCUCCAAUAACAUGAGCUUCUUUGAUUUGAGUUCAUAUUUUAUGGUUCCUGCCUUUUUGAUUACUGAUUUAUUUGUCAUAUGAAUUUAGGGAAAUAACAACCAUCACCUUUCAUUUUGUUCAGCAAAACUUGAUGGUAGAUCUGUUAUACAAGUGAACACGAAAGGUGCUUUCCCAUGGAAACCUGAUUGGCACACAUCACAUAUAUGAAAGGACAACAUGGAAUUGUUGGAUGACAUGGCAGAAUUGAGACAUAUUGUGUAAUUAUAUAACAAAGUAUAUUAUGGUAAAGUCAUCUCAUUUGAUGGUCUGAGAGAAACUAGAGCAAUACUGUAGCAGUCAAGAGCAACCAGAAAUCUGGAAGAAGAUAAAAAAAGAAGCUAAAUGAACAAAUAUUUACAAUGAUGCCAUGGUAAGAAACCAAAUUGUACUUUGCCUAUUACUUAAUAUUAACAUACAUGCAAAAUGUCUAAUAGGGAAUAAGUCUUUCCAUAUUGCCUCAUAAAUUUGAAUGCUAUUUAGAUACUAAGGUAAAAACUUCCAUUAAAAGAUUAUAUUGUCAAAAUCAAACCUAUUAACACAUUGUAAUUUUAUUAUUUUUCUUAUUAGGUCACUGUACUUUGAAAAACUGAACGUGUUUGGUUUUGGUUACGAGUUAUAUCUUUAAAACUUCUAAGUUUUUAUUAUUAAAACACUGUACUUUCAAAACUUAUUCCAAUUCUUUUGACAAAUUCCAUUCAUUUCAAAAAUAUAUUGUGAACCACAAGUUCCCUUACAUUACUCUGAGAUGUAAUGUCAUUCUCAAUCCAAUUCUUUUAACAAGUUCCAUUUAUUACUCUGCAACAAGAAAAGGUUUUGGAAAACAGAUAAAGAAGAUCCCCCCAAGAAUCAAAGUGUUAACAUGUAAUUUUUAUUUUUUACCCUUAACACUGUCAAAUACUUCAUGCUUUUUAUGUUCUUUUUUAGUUACUCUGAUAAUAUUUAAAGGAUGUUGUGUUGGGUGAUUAUGCCUUCAUGGAAAUGAUAUGCUGGUGUACAGGUAGCUACAGCUAUGAGUCUAUGACCCUGUUUGUGUUAUUCCAGAAUUACCCCUCUGCUCCUAAAACUUGUGGUCAUUUAUUAAAUCAAUCAAAAAAGAUUCUGAAUAUUGCAUUUAGUUCGCUUGGUAAUUCUUUACAAAAGAUAUUUUGUUAUUUAGGCAAUUCUUUUAUUUGUUUAAAAAUGUACUUUUAUUUAGCAAAUUGGGACAUCACUCUACAGGGAAGGGAAAUGCCACAUGGUGUGGUCUUUGUUGGGUUGAAAUGUUAACAACAAGUGGUCAAUAGAAAGAGAUAGAUGCUCUUUGACUGCACACAUAGUAGCAACAACAUCCGAACAGGGGACAUAAAUUUCUAUUUCAGAAGCAACCAAGGUAAAUAAAAAAUUAUGGCUUCAAGCUUUGAAUGAAUUAGGGCAUAAACACCUUCACUUAACCUUCCAAAAAGUAAAGAUGACAUUUGAAGUGAGUGGUAAGUACACAUCGGUUUUUCCAAGUUACCCUUUUUAAGGUAAAAAAACUGUCUUUAUUCUCUUUUGCUACCCAAAAACACCACAAUAUCAAAAUCUUCAACAUUUAGUUCAAAAAUGAGAAUUGUAGCAACGAAAUUUUGUUUGAUAAGUAUGAAGAUGAUGACAAAUUUCUAAGGGUUUCUUGUAGUCAGGCAUUAAAAAGAUUGUUCUUUGUUAUAAUUUGAGUCUUAUUGAGCGUAGUGCUUUAUUUAUCUUUGUCAUGUCUGGGGUGUUUAUCUAACCUAUUAAGACAUUGUAUUGGAAGUAUGAAUAGUUGUACCAAGUGCAUAAGAACAUGCAUCAGGUAUUUGAUACAUUGUACUUUCAAAAUCUAACCUAUUAGAACCUAUUAGAAUAUGCUUUUAAUAUGCUUUACUAUUUAAGAUAUUGUAAUCUAAAUUGGUUUUACUUUUAUUUUCUAAUUAAAACUUUAUACUUUUAAAACCAUAUGCAACAUUAUUUUUUUCUAUUUUUAAUUUUAUUCAUUCAAAGUCCAACUUCUUAAGGUUACAAAUAAGAGGUCAAUCUAAGAGAUGCAUAGGUUGUAUAAAAUUUUCUAUUUAGAGGUUCACAACAUUGAUUACAUGUUAUAAUGCUUUCUUAUUAAGUAACAGAUCAUCUCCAUUGAAGUUAGUUCCUGACAUUGGCACCUUACAAUUUUCUAAACCUUAAUUCAAUUUAGUGCAACUUCAAAUCCUUUUGUUGAUUCUCAAGUUAGUGUUUGACUUAAACAUCUCUAAUAACAUGAGCUUCUUUGAUUUGAGUUCAUAUUUUAUGAUUUCUGCUAUUUUGAUUACUGAUUUAUUUGCCAUAUGAAUUGCUGUUUUUUAUGGAAAUGAUAACCAUCGCCCAUUUUGUCCACCAAAACUAGAUAAUCUGUUAUACAAGUGAACACAAAAGGUGCUUUCUAAUGGAAACCUGAUUGGAAAACAUCACAUAUAUGCUCUUUCCAAAUUAAUUUGAUGAUACUGAUUCUUCGGGUCUCUCGUCAUUACUGGAUUCAUCAUGUUGUUGGGUUGUGCCAUUAUGCAGUGUAUUUCUAUGACGUCUGGUUGCGAUGUAGUUUUGGUCCACCAUCGAUCAACAAAAAAGAGUACAAUCUUUCUCAUCUGAUCUCCAGGUAGCGUGUUUUAGUUUAUGGUAACUUUUUUAUGUCAUGAAACUGUUUUUUUCUAAGCAUGCAUCAUCAUCGCUUGAAGGAUCAAACACUAUGCCCAUGUAUCUUCUUGAACUAUAUCAAAGGUAAAUUAAUGACAUAAGUAUACCUGAUUGUUGCCUUAAAUCUUAAUUAACACAUACGGCGACUCUAGGUUUCUUUCACUUUAUCCUCCAUUUUUUUUGUUGGUCUUUUGAAUUAGGUCACCCAAUCGAAACUAGAGCAUCCAUCAGAUGGAGAUGAUUGGUCAAGAAAAUCUGAUGUGCCGUCAGUAAAACUUAAAUAGUUUUGAAACCCAUAAAAGUAUUGUUUAGUUGUAGAUUGUUCUUCUGUGCACUUUAGGUGUUUGAUGAAAUGUCAACUAAGUUAAAGAGUUGUUUUGUUUUGUUCUGAGGGUGAAAUUAUGUAGAGAGAAGUAAAUAAUCACAAGCAAAAUUAAAACAUUAAACAAUUUAUUGAGCUAUUAGAAAUUCAAUUAGGGAAAGAUAAUUUAUUGUUUGUAUUUUCAAUUCAGUUAGAAAUAGAAGUGUAAUUUGAAUGUUUGAAACAACUUUUGAUUUUCAUUGCUACAGAAAUAUUAGGACUUAUGUUUGUAAUUUCUUACUUCAGGAUUCUAGAGAUAGAAUCUUAAUCAAAUGAGGAUACUUUUAAGAGGUGAUGUGAUUUUUUUGUAGGCCUGUUUAUAUCAUCUCCUGUCCUCCUAUUUCUGAGUUAGGUCAAAACAAUGUCUCCUAAUAUUUUUGUUCAUUGAAAAAACUUUGGCUUUGUUGUUUAACUUUUGAAUUGAAAUUGGUAUUUUGAAUAUAAGGUUACAAAGAAGAGGUCCAUCAAAAAGAGAUGCAUAGGUUGUAUAAAAUUUUCUAUUUAGAGGUUCACAACAUUGAUUACAUGUCAUAAUGCAUUCCUAUUAAUUAAGUAACAGAUGUUCCCUUUUGGUGACAGAUCUUCUGCUGCAUCUCCAUUGAAGUUAGUUCCUGACAUUGGUAAUUUUGUGUCUACAUGUCUGUAUUAUACUUUCUUCACUGAAAUUGUAUAACAUUGCAACAGGGAUCCUGUAUUGGACUAUAUAUACAUACAUACAUACAUACAUCUCUGUUCUUUUAUAUGAUGUCACCCUUACCCUGGUUUGUCCUCCAUUAAUUAUACUGGUAAUGCCUUCUUUUCCAACAGCAACUGGGGUUAAUAAGGUUGUGUCAUUUUCAAAACUUUAAUACAAUUUAGUGCAACUUCAAAUCCUUUUGUUGAUUCACAAGACUUUAACAUCUCUAAUAACAUGAGCUUCUUUGAUUUGAGUUCAUAUUUUAUGAUUUCUGCCAUUUUGAUUACUGAUUUAUUUGCCAUAUGCAUUGCUGCUUUUUAGGGAAAUGACAACCAUCACCAAAACUAGAUAAUCUGUUAUACAAGUGAACACCAAAGGUGCUUUCCUAUGGAAACCUGAUUCGCACACAUCACAUAUAUGAAAGGACAACUUGAAAUUGUUGGAUGACAUGGCGGAAUUGAUACCUAUUGUGUGAUUAUAUAACAAAGUGUAUUAUGGUGAAGUCAUCUCAUCUGAUGGUCUGAGAGAAACUAGAGCAAUACUAGAGAAGUCAAGAGCAACCAGAAGUCUGGAAGAAAAAAAGAAGAAGCUAAAUGAACAUUUACAAUGAUGCCAUGGUCACCUUGGCCAUCCAGAACCUAUUGAGAAUUGGUGAUGCGAGUCUUGUACUAUAAACAUGAUGAUGUGCUCUCCUUUUUUUUAUCUGCAAAAUGUGAUCUUUUUAUUACAAUUUUUUUAUUUCUUAUUCAUUAAAUCCUACUAAUUUAAGAAUGAUGCUUCUUAUGAUAACAAAUAAACGGCCGAAGGAAGCAACUAAAACUCUAAAGAAAGUUACUUUGGUCUAUGAGUAUGGAAGGUAAAAAGAAAAUUAUGGCUUCAAGUUUUGAAUUAGGGCAUAAACGUCUUCACUUAACCUUGCACAAAGUAAAGAUGACAUUCUACAAGUGGGAUCCUGUAUUGGACUAUAUAUAUACAUACAUUUCUGUCCUUUUAUAUGAUGAUACCCUUACCCUGGUUUGUUCCCCAUUAAUUAUACUGGUAAUGCCAUCUUUUCCAUCAGCAAUUGGCAUUAAUAAGGUUGUAUCAUUUUCAAAACUUUCAUACACUUUAGUGCAACUUCAAAUCCUUUUGUUGAAGUUGUGUUCAUAUUUUAUGAAUUCUGCCAUUUUGAUUACUGAUUUAUUUGCCAUAUGAAUUGCUGCUUUUUAGGGAAAUGACAACCAUCGCUCUUUUUGUCCACCAAAACUAGAUAAUCUGUUAUACAAGUGAACACCAAAGGUGCCUUCCCAUGGAAACCUGAUUGGAAAACAUCACAUAUAUGAAAGGUGUGUGGUUAUUGCACUGAAGUCAUCUCAUCUGAUGGUCUGAGAGAAACUAGGGCAAUGCUGGAGUAGUUAAGAGCAACUAGAAACCAAUGAUGCCAUGCAAAUUGCGACAUCAGGGAAGGGAAAUACCACAUGAUGUGGUCUUUGGUGGGUUGAAAUCUUAACAAGUGGUUAAUAUAAAGAGGAAUCUGUUCUUCCAGCUGUGAUGCUUGGACAAGCAUCUUAUUGUUACCUUUUAGCCAAACCAAUUAUGUUAAGAAAGUAUGGAUUUUUUCUCAUUCUUUCUGGUGGUGAUCUGUAGAAGAAAGAAAUGUCAUCAGAAGAAUAACUUAACUGGAGCAGUUGAGAGCACCUACAAAUCUGGAAGAAAGCUAAAAAUGACUGACCAUUAUAUGAUGCGGAUACCAAGAUCACCAUUGGCUGCACACAUAGUAGCGACAUCGGAACAGGGGACAUAAAUUAGGGUUCAUUCUGCUUCAGAAGCAACCAAGGUCACCUUGGCCAUCCAGAAGCUUUUGAGAAUUGGUGAUGCGAGUCUUGUACUAUAAACAUGAUGAUGUAAACAGAAAAUUAUCGCUUGAAGUUUUGAAUGAAUUAGGGCAUAAACAUCUUCACUUAACCUUCCAAAAAGUAAAGAUGACAUUUGAAGUGAGUGAAUAACUUAACUUGAGCAGUUGAGAGCACCUGCAAAUCUUGAAAAAGGCUAAAUGACUCACCAAUGAUAGGCUAAGAUCUUCUGCUGCAUCUCCAUUGAAGUUAGUUCCUGACAUUGGGAUCCUGUAUUGGACUAAAUAUAUAUACAUACAUCUCUUACCCUUACCCUGGUUUGUCCCCCAUUAAUUAUACUAGUAAUGCCAUCUCUUCCAUCAGCAACUAGGGUUAAUAAGGUUGUAACAUUCUCAAAACUUUGAUACAAUUUAGUGCAACUUCAAAUCCUUUUUUGUUGAUUCACAAGUUUGUGUUUGACUUAAACAUAUUCAAUAACAUGAGCUUGAGUUCAUAUUUUAUGAUUUCUGCCAUUCCAAUUAUUGAUUUAUUUGCCAUAUGAAUUGAUGCUUUUUAGGGAAAUAACAACCAUCACCCUUCUCGUCCACCAAAACUGGAUAAUCUGUUAUACAAGUGAACACAAAAGGCGCUUUCCCUUGGAAAGCUGAUUGGCACACAUCACAUAUAUGAAAGGACAACUUGGAUGACAUGGCAGAAUUGAGACCUAUUGUGUGAUUAAAUAACAAAGUAUAUGAUAUGAUGGGUAUUGAUAAAUUUAUGUAUUUUAGUAAAUUUAGUAAUACUGGAGCAGUCAAGAGCAACCAGAAAUCUGGAAGGAAAAAAGAAGAAGCUAAAUGAACAUUUACAAUGAUGCCAUGGUAAGAAACCAAAUUGUAAAAUGUCUAAUAGGGAAUAAGUCUUUCCAUAUUACCUCGUAAAUUUGAAUGUUGUUUAGAUGCUAAGGUAUAAAAACUUCCAUUAAAAGAUUAUAGUGUCAUUAUCAAACCUAUUGGCACAUUGUAGUUUUAUUAUUUUUCUUAUUAGGUCACUAUACUUUGAAAAACUGAACAUGUUUGGUUUUGGUUACCAAUUAUAGCAUUAUAACUUCUAAGUUUUUAUUAUUAAAUUAUUGUACUUUCAAAAUUUAUUCCAAUUCCUUCCACAAAUUUCAUUCUUCUCAAAAAUACUUGGUGAACCACAAGUUCCCUUACAUUACUCUGUAAUGGGUUGUGAUGCUUAAUUCCAAUUUCAUUAACAAAUUCCAUUCAUUAGUCAGCAACACGAAAAGGUUUUGGAAACCAGAUAAAGAAGAUCCCCCCCAAGAAUCAAAGUGUUAUCAUGUAAUUUUUAAACUUCAUUUGUUUUGUUUUCAGUUAUUAUAUUAUAUUUUUAGUUAUAGCUUUUUACUCUCGUAAUCUAACCUAUUAAGACAUUGUAUUGGAAGUAUGAAAUGAAUAUUUGUACCGACUGCAUAAGAACAUGUACCAGGUAUUUGAUACAUUGUAGUUUUAUCUUUUGUUAUUAAGACAUUAUACUUUUAAAAUCUAACCUAUUAGAAUAUGCUUUUAAUAAUUAACAAAUCCCAUUCAUUACUCUGCAACAAGAAAAGGUUUUGGAAACAAAGUGUUAAGAUGUAAUUUUUACCCUUAACACUAUAAAGUACUUCAUGCUUUUUCUGUUCUUUUUUAGUUACUCUGCUAAUGUUGUGUCUGGUGAUUAUGCCUUGAUGGAAAUGAUAUGCUGGUGUACAGGAAAUGAUGGGAUUAACAUACUUCAUGUUAAAUCAAUCAAAAAAGAUUCUGAAUAUUGCAUUUAGUUCGCCUGGAAUCUCUUCAUCCAGCUGUGAUGCUUCAAUAAGCAUCUUAUUGUGAAGUUUUAGCCAAACCAAUUAUGUUAAGAAAGUAUGGAUUUCGUCUCAUUCUUUCUGGUGGUGAUUUGUACAAGAAAGAAAUGUGAUCAGAUCAUCUCCAUUGAAUUUAGUACAACUUCAAAUCCUUUUGUUGAUUCACAAGUUUGUGUUUGACUUGAACAUCUCCAAUAACAUGAGCUUCUUUGAUUUGAGUUCAUAUUUUAUGAUAUCUGCCUAUUUGAUUACUGAUUUAUUUGCCAUAUGAAUUUAGGGAAAUAACAACCAUCACCCUUUUCGUCCACCAAAACUAGAUAAUCUGUUAUACAAGUGAACACCAAAGGUGCUUUCUAAUAUGGAAACCUAAUUGGAAAACAUCACAUAUAUGCUCUUUCCAAAUCAAUUUUAGAGGAUUUGAUUUACAAUGAUGCCAUGGUAAGAAACCAAAUUGUACUUUGCCUAUUACUUAAUAUUAAUAGGGAAUAAGUCUUUCCAUAUUGCCUCAUAAGUUUGUAUGCGAUAAUCGAAUGCUAUUUAGAUGCUAAGGUGUAAAAACUUACAUUAAAACAUUAUACUUUCAUAAUCAAACCUAUUAUUAACACAUUGUAAUUUUAUUAUUUUUCCUAUUAAGUCACUGUAAUUUGAAAAAAUAAACAUGUUUGGUUUCGAUUACCAAUUAUAGCAUUGUAACUUCUAUGUUUUUAAUAUUAAAACAUUGUGUACUUUCAAAAUUUAUUCCAACUCCUUGGACAAAUAUCAUUCUUAUCAAAAUUAUUAUGUGAACCACAAGUUCCCUUACAUUACUCUGAGAUGAAUUGCUAUGCUUAAUUCCAAUUCCUUUAACAAGUUCCAUCUGUUACUCUGCAACAAGAAAAUGUUUUGGAAACCAGAUAAAGAGCUUAUGGUUGAUAAAAGGAAAAGAAUAUGCGCCUGAGAAUCAAUGUGUUAACAUGUAGUUUUUACCCUUAACUCUAUAAAACACUUGAGAUGCUUUUUAUGGUUCUUAUGUAGUUUUUCUAUUAAUGUUUAAAGAUACACUUUUAGUUCCAUGGAACCCAAAUAAGGGUGUUGUGUUGGGUGAUUAUGCCUUCAUGGAAAUGAUAAGUUGCAAAAAUCAUCUAUAUUUGGUGACCAAAAAUAGCCAAUUUACUUGGACACAGUGUAACGACGUAAAAAUUUAAAACAAUUUUUUCAUUUUUCAAACAACAUAAAAUUAUCAAUAUUCUCAAAUCUAAUGUUCAACAAAUGUCAUCAUGAUAAAAACAUAUCCCAAGAUCAUAAAAUAAUCAUCUGCCAGUGUGUACGGAUCAUGUCGGCACCUUCCCGCGAUCCUCGCUAGUACCUGAAACACAUAACACUUAACACUGUAAGCAUAAAAGCUUGGUGAAUGCAUACGUCACUCAAGGCCAUAGCUCUAUGGGACCUUCCGGCCCAUGUGUCUCAGGGGACUUUCGUCCCAACCCUGGUAGACCUUCUGGUCCUACACAAAAUGACCUUCCGGUCCAUACCCUUUUUGACCUUCCGGUCCAUAACAUACUGCUCAUAACAUAACAUAACACAUACAUAUCACAUAUCAUCUAUCAACAUAUAUCAAAUACUCUUCUUAGCACAUAAGACCUUCCGGUCACACAUAAAUACCACUCUAGGUAACGUAUAGUGAGAAGACUCGCCUCGUAUGCUGUCUAGUAACUCACGUGCUCGGUAUCCCUAAACCUCGUAACAAUGACCUAGCCCCGCCUAAACACAUAAGCAAUCAUCUCAAAUCAAUAACAGCUCUCCAGGCUAGACUAGUCCCUUCCAAUGUCCUCUCAGAAGGCUAAAAAAGUAAUGGUGUUUUACAAUAUAAGUAUGUGAUAUGUAGUAAGGUCGGUGAAGCAUAUAAGAAGAAUGUUGUCACUUUGAAUGGAGAAGAAGGUAAACAAAAAAGAAAACAUCCAAGUCAAAUGAUUUCUUGCGAAGCGAAGACUGGUUUAAUGUUCAUAAAAGAUUUUGAUCGCUUUUUCAUUAAAACAUUUAAUCAAAAACACAACCAUGAGCUCUAUACAAACAGUAUAGUGCACAUGUCAAAGACAAAAAGAAAGUUGGAUCAUUAUGACAAGACAAUUAUAGCUCAGUUAAACACGUCAAAUGCAAGCAAAGCACAUAACAUGGUUACUUUUUAAAGGGUGGAUGUGCUAAACAAGGUGCAAAUAAAAUCGACUACAAGCAUGUUUACGUUCAUAUUUUAGGUUCUUAUUUUGGGUUUAGAUUACAAUAUAUAACCAAAUAGUGGGAUACACGUGUGAUGUGGCUGCAACAAUUUAUUUCAUUUUAAUGAAUAAUUUACAUACGAAGAUCAACUCACUCCGAUGAAUAGUUUCCAUGCAACAUAGUUUCAAUUCACAAACAUGUCAAAUUCCAAAGAAAUACGCAACACAUAGGCAUGAAAAAAAGGUAUAAACUAAAAAAAAUCAAUUUUUUCCACUACUGACAGA